rnacentral:rRNA from 1 species
GUUUGAUCCUGGCUCAGGACGAACGCUGGCGGCGUGCUUAACACAUGCAAGUCGAGCGGAAAGGCCACUUCGGUGGUACUCGAGCGGCGAACGGGUGAGUAACACGUGAGUAAUCUGCCUCUGGCUUCGGGAUAGCCACCGGAAACGGUGAUUAAUACCGGAUACGACACGCUCUUGCAUGAGAUGGUUGUGGAAAGUUUUUUCGGCCAGGGAUGUGCUCGCGGCCUAUCAGCUUGUUGGUGGGGUAAUGGCCUACCAAGGCUUCGACGGGUAGCCGGCCUGAGAGGGUGACCGGCCACACUGGGACUGAGACACGGCCCAGACUCCUACGGGAGGCAGCAGUGGGGAAUAUUGGACAAUGGGCGGAAGCCUGAUCCAGCAACGCCGCGUGAGGGAUGACGGCCUUCGGGUUGUAAACCUCUUUCAGCACAGACGAAGCGCAAGUGACGGUAUGUGCAGAAGAAGGACCGGCCAACUACGUGCCAGCAGCCGCGGUAAUACGUAGGGUCCGAGCGUUGUCCGGAAUUAUUGGGCGUAAAGGGCUCGUAGGCGGUNUGUCGCGUCGGGAGUGAAAACACCGGGCUUAACUCGGUGCUUGCUUUCGAUACGGGCAGACUAGAGGCAUUCAGGGGAGAACGGAAUUCCUGGUGUAGCGGUGAAAUGCGCAGAUAUCAGGAGGAACACCGGUGGCGAAGGCGGUUCUCUGGGAAUGUCCUGA